rnacentral:rRNA from 1 species
GUUGUAUGGUUAAGUGACUAAGCGUACACGGUGGAUGCCUUGGCAGUUGGAGGCGAUGAAGGACGUAUUAACUUGCGAUAAGCCUGGUCAAGCUAGUAAAAAGCGCUUGAGGCCAGGAUUUCCGAAUGGGGAAACCCACCUGCUUGCAGGUAUCUUGCACUGAAUACAUAGGUGUAAGAGGCGAACGCGGAGAACUGAAACAUCUAAGUACCCGUAGGAAAAGAAAUCAACCGAGAUUCCGAAAGUAGCGGCGAGCGAAAUCGGAGCAGCCCUUAAGCUUAUUUGAUGUUAGUGGAAGGCUCUGGAAAGUGCCACGAUACAGGGUGAUAGUCCCGUACACGACAACGUCUAAUAAGUGAAAUCGAGUAGGUCGGAGCACGUGAAACUUUGACUGAAUAUGGGGGGACCAUCCUCCAAGGCUAAAUACUCCCAACUGACCGAUAGUGAACCAGUACCGUGAGGGAAAGGCGAAAAGAACCCCUGUGAGGGGAGUGAAAUAGAACCUGAAACCGUGUACGUACAAGCAGUAGGAGCCCUUCGAGGGUGACUGCGUACCUUUUGUAUAAUGGGUCAGCGACUUAUAUUUUGUAGCGAGGUUAACCGAAUAGGGUAGCCGUAGUGAAAGCGAGCGUUAACUGCGCGUUGAGUUGCAAGGUAUAGACCCGAAACCCGGUGAUCUAGCCAUGGGCAGGUUGAAGAUUGAGUAACAUCAAUUGGAGGACCGAACCCACUAACGUUGAAAAGUUAGGGGAUGACCUGUGGCUUGGAGUGAAAGGCUAAUCAAACCGGGAGAUAGCUGGUUCUCCCCGAAAUCUAUUUAGGUAGAGCCUCGGACGAAUACCAUUGGGGGUAGAGCACUGUUUGGGCUAGGGGGUCAUCCCGACUUACCAACCCCAUGCAAACUCCGAAUACCAAUGAGUACUAUCCGGGAGACACACGGUGGGUGCUAACGUCCAUCGUGGAGAGGGAAACAACCCAGACCGCCAGCUAAGGUCCCAAAGUGUAUGUUAAGUGGGAAACGAUGUGGGAAGGCUAAAACAGCUAGGAGGUUGGCUUAGAAGCAGCCACCCUUUAAAGAAAGCGUAAUAGCUCACUAGUCGAGUCGGCCUGCGCGGAAGAUGUAACGGGGCUAAACAUACCACCGAAGCUGCGGCUGCAACUUAUGUUGCGGGGUAGGGGAGCGUUGUGUAAGUGGCUGAAGGUGUGCCGGGAGGCAUGCUGGACAUAUCACAAGUGCGAAUGCUGACAUGAGUAACGAUAAUGCGGGUGAAAAACCCGCACGCCGGAAGACCAAGGGUUCCUAUCCCAUGUUAAUCAGGGUAGGGUGAGUCGACCCCUAAGGCGAGGCCGAAAGGCGUAGUCGAUGGGAAACGGGUUAAUAUUCCCGUACUUGGUAUAGAUGCGAUGGGGGGACGGAGAAGGCUAGGCAGGCACGGCGUUGGUUGUCCGUGUGAAAGGCAGUAGGCUUGAAUCUUAGGUAAAUCCGGGGUUCUUUAAGGCUGAGAGUCGAGACGACACUCUACGGAGUGGAAGCUGUUGGUGCCAUACUUCCAGGAAAAGCCUCUAAGCUUCAGUCUAUAUCGAAUCGUACCCUAAACCGACACAGGUGGUCAGGUAGAGAAUACUAAGGCGCUUGAGAGAACUCGGGUGAAGGAACUAGGCAAAAUAGUACCGUAACUUCGGGAGAAGGUACGCCCACAUUAGGUGAAGGACCUGCGUCUGGAGCUGAAGUGGGUCGCAGUGACCAGGUGGCUGGGACUGUUUAUUAAAAACACAGCACUGUGCUAAAUCGUGAGAUGACGUAUACGGUGUGACACCUGCCCGGUGCCGGAAGGUUAAUUGAUGGGGUUAGACUUUGUCGAAGCUCUUGAUCGAAGCCCCGGUAAACGGCGGCCGUAACUAUAACGGUCCUAAGGUAGCGAAAUUCCUUGUCGGGUAAGUUCCGACCUGCACGAAUGGUGUAACCAUGGCCACGCUGUCUCCACCCGAGACUCAGUGAAAUUGAAAUCGCAGUGAAGAUGCUGUGUACCCGCGGCUAGACGGAAAGACCCCGUGAACCUUUACUACAGCUUGGCACUGAACAUUGAGCCUACAUGUGUAGGAUAGGUGGGAGGCUUUGAAGUGGUUACGCCAGUAAUCAUGGAGCCAUCCUUGA